GGCAGGAUCGGCCCCAGAGACGGCCGAGGCGCCGCCUGUGAGGGGGGCUCCGGUUCCUCUA
rnacentral:snoRNA from 23 species